rnacentral:ncRNA from 1 species
GGAGUUUAGAAGUUCUUAAUGUUCUAUAAAUAUGCAAGCCAUGUUUGGACACGAUGUCCAAACAAACCGACACUGAGCCAUGGAUGGCGAAUUGGCGGUGGUGGCGUAGCUUGCGAAUAUGUAGAUUAGAACAUUUAGAACUUCUUAGCUCC